rfam:Populus trichocarpa scaffold_15_contig_148, whole genome shotgun sequence.
CUAGUUGAUCCUACUAGUAGUCAUAUGCUUGUCUCAAAGAUUAAGCCAUGCAUGUGUAAGUAUGAACUAAUUCAGACUAUGAAACUGCGAAUGACUCAUUAAAUCAGUUAUAGUUUGUUUGAUGGUAUUUGCUACUCGAAUAAUCGUAGUAAUUCUAGAGCUAAUAUGUGCAACAAACCCCGACUUCUGGAAGGGACGCAUUUAUUAAAUAAAAGGUCGACACGGGCUCUGCCUGUUGCUUUGAUGAUUCAUGAUAACUUGACGGAUCGCACGACCAUUAUGCUAGUGAUGCAUCAUUCAAAUUUAUGCCCUAUCAACUUUCAAUGGUAGGAUAGAGGCCUACCAUGGUGGUGACGAGUGAUGAAGAAUUAGGGUUCGAUUCCGGAGAGGGAGCCUGAGAAACGACUACCACAUCCAAGGAAGGCAACAAGCGCUCAAAUUACCCAAUCUUGACACGGGAAGGUAAUGACAAUAAAUAACAAUACCGGGCUCUUCGAGUCUGGUAAUUGGAAUUAGAACAAUCUAAAUCCCUUAGCGAUGAUCCAUUGGAGGGCAAGUCUGGUGCCAGCAGUCGCGGUAAUUCCAGCUCCAAUAAUGUAUAUUUAAGUUGUUGCAAUUAAAAAGCUCGUAGUUGGACUUUGGGUUGGGUUCGUCGGUCCGCCUCAAGUGUGCACCGGUCGCCUUGUCCCUUCUACCGGCGAUGUGCUCCUGGCCUUAACUGGCCGGGUCGUGCCUCCGGUGUUGUUACUUUGAAGAAAUUAAAGUGCUCAAAGCAAGCUUACGCUCUAGAUACAUUAGCAUGGGAUAACAUCAUAGGAUUUCGAUCCUAUUGUGUUGGCCUUCGGGAUCGGAGUAAUAAUUAACAAGGAUAGUCGGGGGCAUUCGUAUAUCAUAGUCAUAUGUAAAAUUCUUGGAUUUAUGAAAGACGAACAACUACGAAAGCAUUUGCCAAAGAUGUUUUCAUUAAUCAAGAAGAAAAGUUGGGGGCUCAAAGACGAUCAGAUACCGUCCUAGUCUCAACCAUAAAUGAUGUUGACCAGGGAUUGGCAGAUGUUGCUUCUAGGACUCCACUAACACCUUAUGAGAAUUCAAAGUUUUUGGGUUCUG